UACGUAGGGGGCAAGCGUUGUCCGGAAUCAUUGGGCGUAAAGAGCGUGUAGGCGGCCCGAUAAGUCCGCUGUGAAAGUCCAGGGCUCAACCCUGGAAUGCCGGUGGAUACUGUCGGGCUCGAGUCCGGAAGAGGUGAGUGGAAUUCCUGGUGUAGCGGUGGAAUGCGCAGAUAUCAGGAGGAACACCAAUAGCGAAGGCAGCUCGCUGGGACGUUACUGACACUAAGGCGCGAAAGCGUGGGAGCGAACGAGG
rnacentral:rRNA from 1 species